CGUCAGUCUGCUACAGCAGCACAACAUCAUCCAUCAUUGUGGGACUGUUGGACGACAACAUCCUGGUGUUCAGAGUGGAAUAGUGUGUACAUUUGCUGCUGACAGUCGGGACAACGAUGCUGAGGAUGUGGGAGACAAGCAUGACGCAGAAGGUGAGCACCAGCAUUGAUAUCCAGUUGGCCAAGCAACAGCACCAGUCCGGCCUGCAGGAGCCCCAAUACUAAAUGAUCCUUUGCCUUCCCUGAUCCCUAGCUCCUCCCACUGGACCUCCGGCCACAAAGGGUCAGCAUCAUAACACAAGUCUGUUCUGCAAUAUAUCCUCAGCACGUCAAGUUUUCACGCGCUGUUAUGAACAGCUGAAAUGUCUGUGUUGAGAUUUCCCCAAGCAAGCCCGAGUAGUUUUGUUUAGCUCUAGUGCCCGAGUGGGAUGAGUGUUACAGAAGCGAGACGUUAUAGCAGCACUUAUGGUAACGCUAACAGUUAACGCUAACAGUAAGUUCUCGCUGUGGACAUCACGAAGAAUCUCACGAAGAAUUAAACGUUGAAUAAUUUGUUUAAUUCCUUAUAAGACAGCUAUUUAUUCAGCAAGGAACGGGAGCAAAUCAAGGAAAAAUCGAAACGAUUCAUUCAGAAGUAUAUCUGCUGUAGAUAGUUAGGACAGUAGAAGCGUUACGGACUAUCCUCAGCGCACAAUAUAUUCAUGUGGUGUGCCUCAGACGCGAAUUCCCCACAUUAUUGAAACCAAGUUGCUAAAAAGUCAACACGUACGGUUUUGCACUCCGAGCCCAAAGAGCAUCGCAUUGAAUUGAGACUAAAGAAGGCUUAAAAACGUGACAACAGUUUUGUUGUAUGGUACAGUACGCCCUUCGACUCAACCCGAAGUUAAUCAGAACUCAAACUCGGCCCUUAACAAUAUCCGCGAGGCCAGCAUAUCAGCUCAGCUUCUGAGCUUCAGGACAGCACCACCAUUGAUAUCGAUUUUGCCCAGCAACAGCACAAGUCCGGCCUGCAGGAGCCCCAGUCCAGGACGACCCAUCCACUUCCCUGACCCAUAGCUCAUCAUACUUGAUAUCCGGAAAGAUGGGGCCUAAUGCAUGCGCUUAAAUUGUUGUCACAGAUAAGCCUGUGCAGUCCACACAGGCUAAUAAUGGACAACACUUUCCUCUUAAAGCAGAGCACCAGCAUUGAUAUCGAGUGGGCCCAGCAACCGCACCAGUCCCGCCUGCAGAAGCCCUAGUCCAGAAUGACACUUCCCCUCCCUUGACUUCUAACUCCUUCUCCUUGACCUCCUACCUCAAAAAGUCAGCAUCGUUGAACAACUCUGUUCUUCAGGAAAUUCUGAGCAUGAUUCUGUUCUGACAAACGCAAUGUCCACGUCACGUUUUCCAAACAUAAGCCUGGGUAGUUUUGUUAAGCUAGAGUUCCGCGUGGGCCUGAUAGGAUGAGUGUUACAGACACGAAAAGUUAUAGCAGUAGUUAUGGUAACGCUAACAGUCAGUUGUUGCUGUUGGACAUAACAACAAAUAUCAUGAAGAAUAAAACGUUCAAUAACUUGUUUCAAUUUUUAUGGGACAAACAGAAAUUGAACAGGAGAAAAUCAAGGAAUAAUUGUUGUGAACACCCAGAGCACGAUACAUCCGUGGUGACACAGAUAGGCAGUAAUGACUUGGUUGUGAACUCCCAGAGCAAAAUACAUCCAUGCUGACACAGAAAGGAAGUAAUGACUUGGUUGUGAAUACCCAGAGCAUGCUACAUCCAUGCUGACACAGAAAGGAAGUAAUGACUAUGCAGUGAACACCCAGAGCACAAUACAUCCAUGCUGGCACAGAAAGGCAGUAAUGACUUGGCUUUAAACACACAGAGCACAAUACAUCCAUGCUGACACAGAUGGGCAGUAAUGACUAUGCUGUGAACACCCAGAGCACAAUACAUCCAUGCUGAUACAGAAAGGCAGUAAUGACUAUGCUGUGAACACCCAGAGCACAAUACAUCUAUGCUGACACAGAAAGGCAGUAAUGACUUGGUUUGGAACACCCAGAGCACAAUAAAUCCAUGCUGACACAGAAAGGCAGUAAUGACUUGGCUGUGAACACAGAACACGAUACACCCAUGCUGACACAGAAAGGAAGUAAUGACUCAGCUGUGAACACAUAGCACAAUAUAUCCAUGCUAAAACAGAAAGGCAGUCAUGACUAUGCUUUGAACACCAAGAGCACGACGUAUCCAUGCUGACACAGAAAGGCAGUAAUGACUUGGCUGUGAACACCCAGAGCAAGAUAUAUUCAGGCUGACACAGAAAGGCAGUAAUGGCUAUGCUGUGAACACCCAGAGAAAGAUAUAUCCAUGCUGACACAGAAAGGCAGUAAUGGCUAUACUUUGAACACCCAGAGCAAGAUAUAUCCAUGAUGACACAGAAAGGCAGUACUGACUAUGCUGUGAACACCCAGAGCUCAAAACAUCGAUGCUGACACAGAAAGGCAGAAGGCAGUAAUGACUCGGCUGUGAACACAUAGCACAAUAUAUCCAUGCUAAAACAGAAAGGCAGUCAUGACUAUGCUUUGAACACCAAGAGCACGACGUAUCCAUGCUGACACAGAAAGGCAGUUAUGACUUGGUUGUGAACACCCAGAGCAAGAUAUAUCCAUUCUGACACAGAAAGGCAGUAAUGACUUGGUUGUGAACACCCAGAGCAAGAUAUAUCCAUGCUGACACAGAAAGGCAGUAAUGACUUGGUUGUGAACACCCAGAGAAAGAUAUAUCCAUGCUGACACAGAAAGGCAGUAAAGACUUGGUUGUAAACACCCAGAGCACAAUACAUCCAUGCUGACACAGAAAGGCAGUAAAGACUUUGUUGUAAACACUAAGAUAUCCAUACAUCCAUGGGGUUUGCCACAGACGCAAAUUACGCCCACCAUUUUGAACAAGGUGCUUAAAGUGAACACGUCUGGUUUUGUUAUGAGCACUUAUGAGUCCAAAAGGCCUCACAUUGAAUUGAUGCAAGAGAAAGGCUUUGACAAAUAACAGCAGUUUUGCUGUGUGGUCCAGUGCGCCCUUCGACUCGCAACCUUAAGAAAGCAGAACUCAAACUCGUCUCUUAGCAAUAUCAGCAAGGCCAGCAUGUCAUCUCAGCUUCUUGAGCUUCAGUGAACUUAACUAGCAAACAUGACAGACGUCAUUGAAGUGAAAGUCGAUGACAACCCCCUUCUUGCACAAAUACUACAAUUGCUUAAGAAAAUCAGCACGAAGACGUCUUCCGUCAGACUACCAAGCCUCCUAUCAAUAUCUCCUCCCAUGUUGGCUACAUCAACACUUCCAACAGCAGAGCCUUGGUGAGUUCGACUUCCGUCUCGGCAUCGAUGUCGCUUAGCAACAAUUGGAUGAUGGGCGUUGACAAAUUAGGCCGGACAAGUCGCUCGAACUGAAACGAUCUGAUCCAACAGAGCUAGUUCCUAGCAAUCAUAGAUCGGUACCCUGCUGAAAAACAGAAUCUCUGGUCAGCUGGUUCCAGAUGCCCAGCAACACUUCCAGGCCCAGGACCUUGGGGCAAAUGCUCAACAUGUCCUAUCUGCAUGAUUAAGCCAGUCUAAUUCUUGGGCUCCAAACUCUCCUGCUGUGGGGCCAAGAUUACCUCAUCCAUAAGAGGGCUUAUACUCACAAGUUCAGGCCCAGAGAGCGGUGUUCCCCAACUACAACACAACCAGUACGUCUCAAUAGAGAACACCCUUCCUGAAAACCUCGCUGAGUGCGACUGCGCCAUACGUGACCCUUCAGUGAAAUGAGAUUGCAGGCGGAAUGUCAAACCGGUACUACUCAGGUCUCCAGCAAUAGCCUCAGCCUUGGACGCAGCGUAUCUUGUUCAGUGUCUGGCAGUACCAAGCCACGUCGACGCAGCAGCAAAAACAACAGUAGCAGUCUAGUGAAGGGUCACCCCGCAACUUUCAGUGCCUAGCAAUGAAAUCAUCCACCGUUACAUGUAGUUGGUUGAGGGUCGCCCAAAACCACCCAGUGCCUUGCAAUGAAAACCUCACACGUGACUGUGACCUUGCCCUUGUACACACCUAAUGGUCAGGUUGACGAUCAUUUGGGCUUAGAUAGUCACUGCAGUAAGAACGUGUAAGAUUUUAAAGAAGAUGACUUCACAAUAGGACAUCCGAGACUGCACUGACGAAAUGAGUGUCCUCACUAUAGCAGUGGAAGCCAAUGCACAAUACGAGAGUUUCCAGCGGCUUACCUUAUCUGAAAACCUGGGUAGCAGAGCAAUGAGUAUGUCUCAGGAGCAUUUGCAGUCAUCGUCUCCAGAUUAUGAGAUCCCCAUGCUCCACAACCCUCAGUCUAUGAACAUCAUGCAGAGCGAACCUUGGACGUUCCUUGACGAAAUCAAACCAGCAAAUCAGAAGGACAGCUUGUUGCUGGUUUGUUAAAAAGUUAUCAUAUUAACCACAUACCGAAGAAGCUCAGAGAUAUAAAUGCUGUUCAAGAUGUACUAGUCUCUACAUACCCCAUGUCUGGAGUGAACAUGUACAAUUGAAGGUCUCUACAUACCCCAUGUCUGGUGUGAACAUGUACAAUUGAAGGUCUCUACAUACCCCAUGUUGGGUGUGAACAUGUACAAUUGAAGGUCUCUACAUACCCCAUGUCGGGUGUGAACAUGUACACUUGAAGGUCUCUACAUACCCCAUGUCGGGUGUGAACAUGUACAAUUGAAGAUCUCUACAUACCCCAUGUCUGGUGUGAACAUGUACAAUUGAAGGUCUCUACAUACCCAAUGUCGGGUGUGAACAUGUACAAUUGAAGAUCUCUACAUACCCCAUGUCUGGUUUGAACAUGUACAAUUGAAGGUCUCUACAUACCCCAUGUCUGGUGUGAACAUGUACAAUUGAAGGUCUCUACAUACUCCAUGUCUGGUGUGAACAUGUACAAUUGAAGGUCUCUACAUACCCCAUGUCUGGUGUGAACAUGUACAACUGAAGAUCUCUACAUACCCCAUGUCUGGUGUGAACAUGUACAAUUGAAUGUCUCUGUAUACCUCAUGUCUGGUGUGAACAUGUACAAUUCAAGGUCUCUACAUACCACAUGUCUGGUGUGAACAUGUACAAUUAAUGAAUUGAUGCAGACAGAAGUCGCAUAAUGACAAAUCACAACAAAAAGUGGAAAUCCAGACAGUCUUGUGGCCAGCCAUGUUUUUAUGUGGCCAUCCAAGUUGUGUUCAAAGAAAGCAAUAGUUCAUGUUUUAUUGGAACUAUGAUGCUGAUAGUCAUUUUAUGUAAAAGGCUUUUAUGAACUAUAUUUACUCAGUAUAAUAAGAUUAAGAUUUCUUGAUAAAAGCAAUAAUGAGCAAUAUAAUUUUAAGAGCAAAAUUACAUUGUCUGUAUUAUGAAAUUUUAUUUUGGAAAUGUUAUGGAAAAUAUAAUGUUUCUUAAUAUAUGUCUAUGAAUAUUGAUUUUAACAUUUGUCAAAUCUGUUUAAAUGAUGCUGGUAACUUUGACAAAAUUGAAAGAAAAUGUAUUCUUUUCAUGUAAUGAGACAUGCUUCAGGUUUUUUUUUUGGCUUAACAUGUAAUAUAGAGGUGGUAGUUACACACAUUGUUUAGACAGGUUGAUAAUUUUAAUGCUAAGGCUUUGAUACUCUUAAGUGUGCCCAUUGGUGUCAGGUGUUUUUGUCAAGCAUCUUGUUUAUUAUCUUAGUAUUUCAAGACAAUAUUGAUUAAUUUUAGACAAAAUCAUUUAAUCUUCUUUAAAUUGUCUAUUCUGUAUUUACUUCCAGUUAUUUAUUAAUUUGCUUGAACAUGAUUGAAGAAUGACUUUUUUGUUGCUUAAAUGCUUUGAGCAUUUAAAAACAAAAAUAUAAGAUGUGGGAAUAAUGUCUAAAGUUAUGAUAAUUAUUUUUUGUUUUUGUAAAGUUAAUUAUGCUUUAUAUGUUUGUGUAUAGACAUUUAGACGACCAGAUUAACCUGACCAAGAAUUCUUGAUCAAUGUGUAUAUCGGUCACUUCAUUUGUCAUUUGUAUAUAGAGCGAUUGCGAAAUGAUCGUAUUGUUAAUGAAAAUCAUGCGUUUAUUGUUGCCAUUUUGAUGUUCGCUGUUAACAUGUAUUUAUACAAACAAUUUUCAUCCUGUACAUCUUUUAGAUGCCAGAUAAUAAAAACAAACAUUGCUUGUGGAGAUGCUCAUUUAAAACUUUCUUAAUGAUACAGAACAACACAUUCUGAAGAGGCCAAUAUCCUUUAGACAAGGAACAUCUUGUUAUUAGUAUAUGUAAUGCCUUUCACUAAAUAAAGUCAAGCAACUAUUGAAAGAUUGGUUUAACUUUGUUUUGCAUUAUCUUAAGAAAAAUUAAUAUAUACUACUUGGAAAUCAGUCAAUUGCAAAUCAAGCGAGAGUGAUUUAACAUGCUAACACUUGUCAAUAAUUGAAUUGUCUCUCUUUGUACGUAAGAUAUAGGGAUGUUGUUGCUUGAAAAACAAAGUUGUAUCCGUUGUUAGAUAAUGCUUUUGUUCAUCUCUCAACAUAACAAGUACAUUCAUACAGUUAUUAAAAAUAUGACACUCUUUAUUCUCAGCCAUCAGUUUGUAUUGGGAUUUUGUGGAAUACUUACUAAACUAAUAUACGUCUGUUUAAUGAAUGAAUAGCUAUGGUACAAUAUGAUACUCAGUGUUACAAAACAUGUGUUAUAAAAAUAUAAUGUCAUUUAUUUCAAAUCAUAAAAUUUAGUCGUCCAUACAAUGCUUACAGUUUUACAAUUGCGACGAUAAAGGAAAUGUUCUGCUCAAAAUGUCUUUUUAAGACAUGUGAAAAUUGUAGCAAUCAUAUUGUACUUGUAUUUAUAUUAUACAUUAUAAGAAUUUACUUACAGCUGAUGAUAGCGGCAGUUUACUAUUUGUGUAACAGUUUGUUCCACUCGACCAUUAGACCAUAUUUCCUUAAAAAUGUGAUUGUUAAUAUUGAACUGUAAUUGAAUGCAUGAAACAUAAUUGUUCUGUUGCUUAACAGCUGAAAAUAGCUUGAUGUUUGUAAAAUUGUAUGAAAUGUUUCAAAUAAAUCAUAUUGAUUACAUAAAAAAAUAAAAUUACAUUUUGCGUUACUUUGAAUGCAUAAUAAACAAUUGUUACCAUACAAUCAUAUUAGUAUUGAACUUAAUUAAUACUUUAAGAUGCAAUUUUUACAAUAAUGUGUUAAUAUUGUCAUCCAUUCCAAAUAAGCAUUGUGCAUUCGUAAAUAUAGGGUGUAUAUACACUGCUUAGAUGCCUUUUUAAAAUUGCUUGUGUACGUCAUAUUGAUUAAAGACUCUGUUGUAUUGCAUAUUUGUGUGUGCCAAUGUCUUACUUAUCUCUUCAUAGUCCUUAAAUUACUGCAAAUAGUAUUUUAAUAAUGUUAAAAUAUUUAUCUAAACUAUAACCAGGUUAUCUGUUAAUUUAAGUUUCACACAUUGUAUUGUCUAGCUAAUGAAAUUGAAGUGUCUAUAUUCUCGCCAACAUGCAUUGUCGGUGUAUGGUUUAGACAAAGCACAUUACACAACUCCUGUUGUUUUUCUCCAUCAUUAAUAACCAAUGUUUAUUCUGUAGAGGUUGCAUUAUACUUAAUAUUUCAGUUGUGCAAUGCUUUGCUCUGUUAAUAAAUCAGCACUAUUUAUUGAUUUUUAGCUCAUCUAUUUUUUGAAAAAAAAUUAUGAGCUAUUGUCAUCACCUUGGCGUCGGCGUCGGCGUUGGCGUUGGCGUCGGCGUCCGGUUAAGUUUUGCGUUUAGGUCCACUUUUCUCAGAAAGUAUCAAUGCUAUUGCAUUCAAACUUGGUACACUUACUUACUAUCAUGAGGGGACUGGACAGGCAAAGUUAGAUAACUCUGGCGUGCAUUUUGACAGAAUUAUGUGCCCUUUUUAUACUUAAAAAAUUGAAAAUUUUGGUUAAGUUUUGCGUUUAGUUCCACUUUUCUCAGUAAGUAUCAAUGCUAUUGCAUUCAAACUUGGUACACUUACUUACUAUCAUGAGGGGACUGGGCAGGCAAAGUUAGAUAACUCUGGCAUGCAUUUUGACAGAAUUAUGUGCCCUUUUUAUACUUGGAAAAUUGACAAUUUUGGUUAAGUUUUGUGUUUAGGUCCAUUUUAUUCCUUAAGCAUCAAAGCUAUUGCUUUCAUACUUGCAACACUUACUAACUAUCAUAAGGGGACUGUGCAGGCAAAGUAAUGUAACUCUGACUGGCAUUUUGACAGAAUUAUGUGCCCUUUUUAUACUUAGAAAAUUGAAAAUUUGAUUAAGUUUUGUGUUUAGGUCCACUUUAUUCAUACAGUAUCAAAGCUAUUGCUUUCAUACUUGCAAGAUUUAUGAACUAUCAUAAGGGGACGGUGCAGGCAAAGUUAUGUAACUCUGACUGGCAUUUGGACGGAAUUAUGGGCCAUUUAUACUUAGAAAAUUGAAAAUUUGGUUAAGAUUUAUGUUUUGGUCCACUUUACCCCUAAAGUAUCAUAGAUAUUGCUUCCAUACUUGGAACACUCACAAACUAUCAUAAGGGUACAGUAAAAGGACAAGUUGCAUAACUCUGGUUGUCAUUGUUACGGAAUUAUGGCCCUUUUUUGACUUAGUAACUUUUAAUAUAUGGUUAAAUUUUGUGUUUCGAUCCACUCGAAGUAUCAAGGCUAUUGCUUUCAAACUUCAAAUACUUACAUGCUAUCAUGAGGUUACUGUACCUGGCAACUUGAAUUUUACUUUGACCUUUGAAUGACCUUGACUCUCAAGGUCAAAUUAUUAAAUUUUGCUAAAAUUGCCAUAACUUCUUUAUUUAUGAUUAGAUUUGAUUGAUACUUUGAUGAAACUACUCUUACCUGACAUACCACAAUAGACUUCACCCAAACCAUCCCCCGUGCCC